AGAGUUUGAUCCUGGCUCAGGAUGAACGCUGGCGGCGUGCCUAAUACAUGCAAGUCGAACGCGAAAGGUCUGAAGCCUUCGGGCGGAGGGCCGAGUAGAGUGGCGAACGGGUGAGGAACACGUAGGUGACCUGCCCCGGAGAGGGGGAUAACCGUCGGAAACGGCGGCUAAUACCCCAUAAGCUCACGCGAGUUAGAGGGCGUGUGAGAAAAGCUCCGGCGCUCCGGGAGGGGCCUGCGGCCCAUCAGCUAGUUGGUAGGGUAAAGGCCUACCAAGGCGAAGACGGGUAGGGGGCCUGAGAGGGUGGUCCCCCACAUGGGAACUGAGACACGGUCCCAACUCCUACGGGAGGCAGCAGUAAGGAAUAUUGCACAAUGGGCGCAAGCCUGAUGCAGCAACGCCGCGUGCCCGAGGACGGCCUUCGGGUUGUAAAGGGCUUUUCUGGCUGACGAGGAAGGACGGUAGGCCAGGAAUAAGCGUCGGCUAACUACGUGCCAGCAGCCGCGGUAAAACGUAGGACGCGAGCGUUAUCCGGAUUUACUGGGCGUAAAGCGCGGGCAGGCGGUGGUCCAAGUCGGACGUGAAAGCUCCCGGCUCAACUGGGAGAGGUCGUUCGAAACUGGGCCGCUAGAGGGCAGUAGAGGGGCGUGGAAUUCCGGGUGGAGUGGUGAAAUGCGUAGAGAUCCGGAGGAACACCAGAGGCGAAGGCGGCGCCCUGGGCUGCACCUGACGCUGAGCCGCGAAAGCUAGGGGAGCGAACGGGAUUAGAAACCCCGGUAGUCCUAGCCGUAAACGAUGUCCACUAGAUGUCUGGGCGGAGCGCCUGGGCGUCGCAGCUAACGCGUUAAGUGGACCGCCUGGGGAGUACGGCCGCAAGGCUAAAACUCAAAGGAAUUGACGGGGGCCCGCACAAGCAGCGGAGCGUGUGGUUUAA
rnacentral:rRNA from 1 species